CCUACGGGAGGCUGCAGUGGGGAAUAUUGGACAAUGGGGGCAACCCUGAUCCAGCCAUGCCGCGUGUGUGAAUAAGGCCCUCGGGUUGUAAAGCACUUUCAGUGAGGAAGAACGCCUGGUGGUUAAUACCCAUCAGGAAAGACAUCACUCACAGAAGAAGCACCGGCUAACUCCGUGCCAGCAGCCGCGGUAAUACGGAGGGUGCGAGCGUUAAUCGGAAUUACUGGGCGUAAAGCGCGCGUAGGUGGCUUGAUAAGCCGGUUGUGAAAGCCCCGGGCUCAACCUGGGAACGGCAUCCGGAACUGUCAAGCUAGAGUGCAGGAGAGGAAGGUAGAAUUCCCGGUGUAGCGGUGAAAUGCGUAGAGAUCGGGAGGAAUACCAGUGGCGAAGGCGGCCUUCUGGACUGACACUGACACUGAGGUGCGAAAGCGUGGGUAGCAAACAGGAUUAGAUACCCCGGUAGUC
rnacentral:rRNA from 1 species